GCCGAGGUGGCCCAGUCCGGUACGGCGCGAGCCUGGAGAGCUCGUGGGCAUUUUUGCCCGCGGGAGUUCAAAUCUCCCCCUCGGCG
rnacentral:tRNA from 1 species